CACGUAGGGCGCAAGCGUUGUCCGGAAUCACUGGGCGUAAAGGGUGCGUAGGCGGGUCUUUAAGUCAGGGGUGAAAUCCUGGAGCUCAACUCCAGAACUGCCUUUGAUACUGAAGAUCUUGAGUUCGGGAGAGGUGAGUGGAACUGCGAGUGUAGAGGUGAAAUUCGUAGAUAUUCGCAAGAACACCAGUGGCGAAGGCGGCUCACUGGCCCGAUACUGACGCUGAGGCACGAAAGCGUGGGGAGCAAACGGG
rnacentral:rRNA from 1 species